GAUCCUGGCUCAGGAUGAACGCUGGCGGCGUGCCUAAUACAUGCAAGUAGAACGCUGAAGCUUGGUGCUUGCACCGAGCGGAUGAGUUGCGAACGGGUGAGUAACGCGUAGGUAACCUGCCUCUUAGCGGGGGAUAACUAUUGGAAACGAUAGCUAAUACCGCAUAAAAGUCGACAUCGCAUGAUAUUGAUUUGAAAGGUGCAAUUGCAUCACUAAGAGAUGG
rnacentral:rRNA from 1 species